rnacentral:sRNA from 1 species
GGACAAUACACCAUUAAAUUAGUAAUUGUACGACUAAUGUUGUCCGUGUAGAAUUUAAACAAGAAGAAUCAAGUUACAGCUAGAAGCAUUGUGUGUGUCACUUGUUCUCAAUAUAGUAUUUUUUUUGUCCUUACUAUUGAUUAUAGAACAUUAAAUCUUUGUGAAAGUGAUAGAAAACAAGUUUUGUCAGUGAGGUUGAUACACUGUAAUAUGACAUUUGUUGGUCUAGUAAUAAAGACAAUAUACUGU